UCUCAGCCCUCGCCUCGCCACUAGUCUUCAUCGAGAAAUUAGAGUGAGGAUGAGUCGUUGAAAAUGGCCAUUGCUGUUCGAUCAAAGCUCCAACACAAUAACCUGUCCCCGCUGUGACCGUCAUAUGUUCCUCUAUCUGACGUUCUUAAAUAGAAACGAAAGGCAGUAUGCAGCAGGACAUAUUUCCACAAGGUGCAUUGUGCAAAUGCUACUUUGAUAAUUUGGGCCAGUUCAUAUCUGGAGAUGAUUGAUCAGAGAUUCAGUGAUGUCCUGUACCGUCGAUUUCUCAGACAAGUUCGGAUAAAUGAGAGAAAAAGAAGAAUACCUGAUGCCUGAAAAGGAAGAGAAUGUGUGUCAGGUGAAAAUUCAAGUGGAUCUACUAUAAUACAUAUUGUUUGUACAUUUGUAGAAUUGUUUUUUGACUUAUAUAAAUGAUUUGCAAAUAUGUUGUUCAAGAAGCUAGUCCUGACUCUUGA